rnacentral:tRNA from 1 species
GUCACUUUGCCGGAGUGGUUAACGGGAUCGCCUGCUAUUCAGUUCAGCAUUAGCGGUUGGGCUUUGCCCGCGAGUGUUCGAAUCGCUCAGGUGACG